AAUAGAUACCCUGGUAGUCCACGCCGUAAAACGGUGGGCGCUAGGUGUGGGGGACUUUCCACGUCCUCUGUGCCGCAGCUAACGCAUUAAGCGCCCCGCCUGGGGAGUACGGCCGCAAGGCUAAAACUCAAAGGAAUUGACGGGGGCCCGCACAAGCGGCGGAGCAUGUGGCUUAAUUCGACGCAACGCGAAGAACCUUACCAAGGCUUGACAUGCAGGGAAAUCUCGUAGAGAUACGGGGUCCGCAAGGGCUCUGCACAGGUGGUGCAUGGUUGUCGUCAGCUCGUGUCGUGAGAUGUUGGGUUAAGUCCCGCAACGAGCGCAACCCUUGUCCUAUGUUGCCAGCGAGUAAUGUCGGGGACUCAUAGGAGACUGCCGGGGUCAACUCGGAGGAAGGUGGGGAUGACGUCAAAUCAUCAUGCCCCUUAUGUCUUGGGCUGCACACAUGCUACAAUGGUCGGUACAAAGGGCUGCGAGACCGCAAGGUGGUGCGAAUCCCAAAAAGCCGGCCUCAGUUCGGAUUGGGGUCUGACC
rnacentral:rRNA from 1 species